rnacentral:rRNA from 1 species
UUACCGCGGCGGCUGGCACCGGUCUUACCCGCCCCUUAUUCCAAGACCUGUUAAUAGUCGAGAAAAGACUGGGUCUUACCCCAGACACUUGGAAUCCCCUCAUCGCGGUUUCCCGCAGUGUGAAGUUUUCGCGCCUGCUGCACCCCGUA